rnacentral:rRNA from 1 species
GACGAAGGGGGCUAGCGUUGUUCGGAAUUACUGGGCGUAAAGCGUGUGUAGGUGGUUGCCAUAGUCAGGUGUGAAAGCCUUGAGCUCAACUCAAGAAAUGCACUUGAUACUGGGCAGCUAGAGGACCGGAGAGGAUAGUGGAAUUCCCAGUGUAGUGGUGAAAUACGUAGAGAUUGGGAAGAACACCAGUGGCGAAGGCGGCCUGCUGGGCAGUUGCUGACACUGAGGCGCGACAGCGUGGGGAGCAAACAGG